ensembl:snoRNA SNORD116 Small nucleolar RNA SNORD116
GCAUUGAUGAUGACUUUAAAAAUAGAUCUCAUUGGAAUCUGAACAAAAUGAGUGACAAAAUCAGUAUGUGAACUGAGGUCC